GUGACAGUGACCUUGUCUUGGGCACAGAGUCAGAAGAAACAAAAUGAUGUGGGGGGGGGGCCUGGGGAAGGCCAGGGGAAGCCGUGGGGGCAGCGUCACCUCUGGCCAGAUGGGCCUGUGUGUUCAGCCCUUCAGGCCUACAGCAAAGCAUUUCAAAAGCCCCUACUGUGUGCCAGCCACAGUGUGAUGCGAGGCAGGAGCAGAGAGGAUUAACUUGGGGUCAGGACCUCAGCGGAGGCAGAGAGGGCGACGCUGUUCUAACCAGGGCAUCAGAGAGAGCUAGCAUCUGCUGAGGUCCCCUCGGCUGGAUGCCCUACGCAUUUUACACACAUUGUCUCAUUUAUCUCUAGGGUUGGUUUGAACAAAGAAGUGCUUUGAGAGUUCAGAUGUGGAGCCAGGAACCCUGCCUGCCAUGGGAUGCAGGGAGAGGGGGUGGCGAGCAGCCCACAGCGACCCCAAGAAGCUGCUCCAACCCCUGGGACUAUGGAGCUCUACAGCUGUAGAGACCACCAGGAAGUGGACUGCAGGCCCCUGGCCUCUCCAUUCAGAUUCUGCAAAGAGAUCCUGAUGGGUUGGGCCAAUGGGUCAGGCAUCCAGUCAGCUCUGGCUAAGGGGUGAAGGAGUCAGGUGUUACCAACGUGGUGGCAGGGGCCACCUUGAAGCUGUGUUCUGUGCCAUGGAAGAAGGAAGAGGAGGAGGAAGCUAAGCUGGAAGGGAAGGCAGGUGAUACAGGAAAAUUAACUAUGAGCUUUGCUAUAGUGACCACUUUUCCUUCACUCCUUGAGCUGUGGCCUUAAGAACUGUGUACCAAUGGGAGGCACUUGCAUAGUAAGUGUUCAUUUGCUGAAUACUUACAGAGGGCUAUAAGUGGACAAAUAUGUCCAAAAACACAUGAAACACACACCAUCAACACUUGCAGAUGGUCUCCUUCAGGGAACCUUUCCACACUGGCUCUCCCCUCACUGAGCUUUCCUUCCUAUCACCCUCCCAGUCUAGGCUCCUGGAGUCAGUAGUUGGAAUCUCAGAUGGGAAGAAACCUUAAAAGUCAUCUGGUCCAGUAUUUUCCAAAGCAUGUUCCAUGAACUUGUUUUCCAGAAAUGGUUUCCUGGUCUGGUGAGUGGGAGUUCGAUGAGAGUGGCAGUUGUCUAUUUUGUUCACCGAUGUAUCUUAGGUGACUAAAACAAUGGUUGUCACAUGGCUGGCCCUUCAUAUUUGUUUCCAGAUGGAAGACUCUCUUUCUAGUGGUGGAACAUUAGUUUUGCACUGUGUUGGGACAACCUGAUGUAGUGAAAACAAGCCUGGGCAAUGAAAUCAACAGAUUGGAGUUCAGUUCCUAAUUGGGUCAUGGAUGAACUUUGUGACCUUGGGCAAGUGAGUUCACCUCUCUGAGUUGAAUAGGUUCCCUCCUUUCUAGAACAAGUAUGAGUCUGCAUCAGAGAGUGGUUGCGAGGGCUACACAUGAUGGAGGAUGAGGACUGGCACAUCAGAAGUACUGAAUGAAGAAUUGUAACAUAAAAAUGACAACAGUAAUAUAUUUUUGUGGUUUCAGCACUCUUCAAAUGAAACCACCUGGCCAACAGGAUUUUAGUGUACCUGCUUAUAACAUUAGCCUUCGUUUCCACCAAAAAGGGUGUUAAAAAAGGAAGCUUGGAACAUGAAAGUAAGACACUUGGAUGAAGAGAUUUAUGACUCUGGGGGGCUGUGAAUUCCUAAUGUCCUUUUGAGACAUGUAGAUCUUCCAGAGCGAUGCUGCCCAAUGCAGUAGCCACUAGCCAAGUGCAAAUGGUCACUUGCAAUAUGGCUAGUCUUUGAGAUGUGUUUUAAGUGUAAAAUACACACUGAAUUUUAAAGACUUAGCGCAAUACAAAGAAUGUAAAAUAUCUCAUUAUAUCUUGAAAUUAUACUAUUUUGGAUAUAUGGUGUUCCCUUGGUGUCUUUGGGGACUGGUUCCAGGAUCCUAGAGGAUACCCAAAUCCCCAGAUGUCAAGUCCGCUAUAUAAAAUGUCCUGUAGUAUUUGCAUAUAACCUACACACAUCCUUCUGAAUACUUUAAAUCAUCUCUAGAUUCCUUGUAAUUCCUAAUACAAUGUAAAUGUUAUGUAAAUAGUUGUUAUACUAUAUUAAAAAGUUUUUUAUUCUUUAUUUUUGCUGUAUUAUUCUUUUUGCAUAUUUUCAGUCCACAGAUGGUUGAUGCCACAGAUGUGGAACCUGUGAAUAAGGAGGGCUGACUGUAUUGAGU
rnacentral:lncRNA from 1 species